rnacentral:rRNA from 1 species
UACGGAGGGUGCUAGCGUUGUUCGGAAUCACUGGGCGUAAAGCGCGUGUAGGCGGCUUUGCAAGUCGGAUGUGAAAGCCCACGGCUCAACCGUGGAAGUGCAUCCGAAACUGCAUGGCUUGAGUCUCGGAGAGGAAGGUGGAAUGCUUGGUGUAGAGGUGAAAUUCGUAGAUAUCAAGCAGAACACCUGCGGCGAAGGCGGCCUUCUGGACGAUGACUGACGCUGAGACGCGAAAGCGUGGGGAGCAAACAGG